rnacentral:rRNA from 1 species
UACAGAGGUGGCAAGCGUUGUUCGGAAUUACUGGGCGUAAAGGGCGCGUAGGCGGUUCGUUAAGUCCUGUGUGAAAUCCCCCGGCUCAACUGGGGAACUGCACAGGAAACUAGCGGGCUUGAGUUCGGGAGAGGGAAGCGGAAUUCCGCGUGUAGCAGUGAAAUGCGUAGAGAUGCGGAGGAACACCGAUGGCGAAGGCGGGUCUCUGGGCCAUAACUGACGCUGAGGAGCGAAAGCGUGGGGAGCGAACAGG